rnacentral:rRNA from 1 species
UACGUAGGCGGAAAAUUAAGUCAGUAGUGAAAUCCUGCAGCUUAACUGUAGAACUGUUAUUGAUACUGGUUUUCUUGAAUAUAGUUGAGGUAGGCGGAAUGUGUAAUGUAGCGGUGAAAUGCCUAGAUAUUACACAGAACACCGAUUGCGAAGGCAGCUUACUAAGCUAUGAUUGACGCUGAGGUACGAAAGCGUGGGUAGCGAACAGGAUUAGAUACCCUGGUAGUCC